UAUGUUUUUCAAAUUAUUUUUCAGGUGAGUUUUUAUCUAGAAUUGUUUGUUUCAGCUUUUGUGCAAACAUUGAAAAUUUGUUUUUAAUUCUUUGGUUUUGAAGUUUUUCUUUCUUUCCACCUGUAGCAGGUGCCUUGGUACAUUAUCUUCAUUUUCUCUCUCCUUGAAUUCUUGACUUCAAAAGUUUCCAAAAGGGAGGAAAGAAAGUAAAGAAUUCUGUAUUAUAGUCUUGUGGAAAAUAUCUGUGGUUGUUCACUGAGAACAUAGGCAGAUGGGAAGGGGAGGUUUUGCUCAACUGAUGGUGUGCAAAAUUGUUUUAAGCAUGUUUUGUGAAUUGUUGAAUCAUAAUCAAGUUUUGACUUGGCAUUGAGACCAUCUAUAUUUCUAGAGUGCCCCAGAUAGUUAAUAAUUAAGAUUUAUGGGAUCAUCUGUUUGCAACAAUAGUGAGUAACUACUCCCAUAGAUAGAUAGUUGAAGCAGAAAUGUGCAUAUUUUAUGUGCAAGCAGGAUGGUGGAAAUAUGCAUGUUAUAUACAUGCAAAGCAGAAUAAUGUUAACUAUGGAAUCAGGUUAUAGAUUUAUCUAUUAAAAUAUUGUUGAUUAUAGAUACAAGGAAUGUCAAUUUGGUAACAGUGCUAUAGUUAAAGUGACACUUGUACAACUGUUCUAACAUUCAUGAACUUUUCUCUUCAACUUUAGUUAAUCAUAAACAUAACUUAAGGAAUUGACUGUUAUCAAUAUCAGCAACUUCCCAAACAAAUAACUUUGGUUCCAUGACAUAUUGCACUAAGAAUAAAAUUAUCUUUCUUGCGGCUGUUUGGGAACCUUGCUAGGCCUAAUUUGGUCUUUUGAGAAUCAAGCAAUUCUACCUGUUGGUUCAUCAAAAAUGCAAUAGCAAAUUUUGUUUAACAUGAAGUAAUUGUAUUUAGUGAGGCAAAGUCAAGUCAAAUAAGGAUUCCACAAAUUUGUAUGUGCUACAUAAGUUCAUGAUAACUUGGUGCCUAUCAUGACAGGGCAGAAAUCAACUAGUUUGGGAUAAAUUAUGCAUAUAGUCUGGUCUGUCCAUUCUUUGUGCCUGUUCUAAUUCAAUUUUAAUGCUUUCCCCAUGCUCAUUAUUCAUUUUUUCCCUUUUAACUAAUUUUGUCCUUGCUGCUUCUAUUAUUGAAGCAUAGUUUAAAAGCUGGCACGGCAUUGUGUAAAGUGAAGCAGUUAAAAUGUCUCUCUAAUUGAUUUCUCUUCCUUGUAUGAGCAGACUUCUGCAGGUGCCGUGGUG
rnacentral:misc_RNA from 1 species